GAUGAACGCUAGCGGCAGGCUUAAUACAUGCAAGUCGAGGGGCAGCACAGUGUAGCAAUACAUGGGUGGCGACCGGCAAACGGGUGCGGAACACGUACACAACCUUCCUUUAAGCGGGGGAUAGCCCGGGGAAACCCGGAUUAAUACCCCAUAGUAUAUCGAAAAGGCAUCUUUUUGAUAUUAAAGAUUUAUCACUUAAUGAUGGGCGUGCGUCUGAUUAGGUAGUUGGCGGGGUAGAAGCCCACCAAGCCUUCGAUCAGUAGCUGAUGUGAGAGCAUGAUCAGCCACACGGGCACUGAGACACGGGCCCGACUCCUACGGGAGGCAGCAGUAAGGAAUAUUGGUCAAUGGACGCAAGUCUGAACCAGCCAUGCCGCGUGAAGGAUGAAGGUCCUCUGGAUU
rnacentral:rRNA from 1 species